rnacentral:rRNA from 1 species
GUAGGAUGGAAAUAAAUUGUAUUAGUUAAAAGUUAAUAGUGAAGUUAAGGGGAUUAGAAAUUUAAGAGGUAAAAUUUGUUAAAUUAAUUAUUUCUUAAGGUAGGAAAUUGAAGCUUUGAAAGUUGAAUAUAAAACUAGGAUUAGAUACCCUAUUAUUUUAAUUGUAAAGAUAAAGGCUUGAGUAGUAUUAGUUAAGUGCUUAAAACUCAAAGAAUUUGGCGGUGUCUUAGUCUUUUCAGAGGAAUCUGUCCCGUGAUCGAUAUUACACGUUAAAUGUUGCUUAAUUUAGUUUAUCAGUUUGUAUACCGCCGUUAUAAGAUUAUCUUUUUAGAGGAAGAAUUUUCUUGAUAUUAUAAGAUAAAAUAUCAGGUCAAGGUGCAGUUUAUAAUUAAGAGGGAGAUGGAUUACAAUAAAUUUAUUUAAAUGGAUUUUUUAUUGAAAAGUAGGAAUGAAGGUGGAUUUGAAGGUAAUUUUAUCAUAUUAUGGUAGAAUGAUUGAAGCUCUAGGACAUGUACACAUCGCCCGUCGCUCUCGUUAUUAAGGUGAGAUAAGUCGUAACAUAGUAGUCGUACUGGAAAGUGUGGCUGGAAAGUCAA